rnacentral:misc_RNA from 1 species
GAUGAAGAACGCAGCGAAAUGCGAUACGUAAUGUGAAUUGCAGAAUUCAGUGAAUCAUCGAAUCUUUGAACGCAUAUUGCGCUCUCUGGUAUUCCGGAGAGCAUGCUUGUUUGAGUAUCAGUAAACACCUCAACUUCCAUAUCUUUUUUGAAAUGGGAGUUGGACUUGAGUGAUCCCAACGCUUUUCCUCACCGAAAAGUGGCGGGUUACUUGAAAUGCAGGUGCAGCUGGACUUUUCUCUUAGCUAUAAGCAUAUCUAUUUAGUCUGCCUAAAAAACAGAUUAUUACCUUUGCUGCAGCUAACAUAAAGGAGAUUAGUUCUUGUGCUGACUGAUGCAGGAUUCACAAAGACAGGCUUCGGCCGACUUUGUAAACUCGAUCUCAAAUCAAGUAAGACUACCCGCUGAACUUAAGCAUAUCAAUAAGCGGAGGA